CCCUUUUUAUAGGUCGGGGGAGCAACGGAUUGAUAGCGAUUGUUUGUAACCGCCUCGUCGUGGGCCGCACGGGGCCAGGAGGAAUUUAUCAUGAGGAGUAAUGGGUGGAGUCGUGGCUGUCACCAUGGCUCGCCACAUGAAAUCUGUCGCGGGGAGUGGAGCGGCGUUCGUUGUCGCGACUUGUCAGGGAGUAGUGGAGCCGCGCAGCAUCCGUCGCAGGAGGUGAAGCAGAUCCGCAGCCAUUACUGCGGCCUGCCACGUGGAGCCUGUAGUGGGGAGUGGUGGGGCCGUGC
rnacentral:lncRNA from 1 species